UAGAGUAUUCAUCACCUCAAGUACAUAUCAGUUUUAUGUGUUGGACAUUUCAAGUCCUCUCUUCUAGUUAUUUUAAAAUACGUAAUACAGUGUUAUUAACUAGAGCCACUCUUCUCCGCUAUCAAACAUUAGAAUCUAUGCCUUCUAUCUAACAGAAGAUCUAGUGAGGAUCAUUGAUGAAGGUGGCCACAUUAAUCAACAGAUUUUCAAUGUAGAAAAAAUUGUCUUCUAUUAGAAGAAGAGGCCAUUUAGGAAAUUCAUAGACAGAGGGAGAAGUAUUUGGCUUCAUACCUGCAAAGGUCAGGCUGACUCUUUUGUUAGGGGCUAAUGGAACUGGCAGCUUUGAGAUGAAGCUGUCUCAUUAGCUAUUCUGAAAAUCCUAGGAUGCUUAAGACUUAUAUAGCAAGGUAACUUAGAAUUAGAGGUGGUGCCUGAACAUGUUACUGAAUUACUACAAUCUUGUGAUGAAACAAAGAGAUGAGAAGUUGCUUCUAUAGAUGAGUAAAGGAAGUGG
rnacentral:lncRNA from 1 species